UACGGAGGUUGCAAGCGUUAUCCGGAUUUAUUGGGUUUAAAGGGUGCGUAGGCGGGUUUGUAAGUCAGCGGUGAAAGACUGUCGCUUAACGAUAGCAUUGCCAUUGAUACUGCAGAUCUUGAGUACAUUUGAGGUGGGCGGAAUGAGUAGUGUAGCGGUGAAAUGCUUAGAUAUUACUCAGAACACCAAUUGCGAAGGCAGCUCACUAAACUGUAACUGACGCUGAGGCACGAAAGCGUGGGGAUCAAACAGG
rnacentral:rRNA from 1 species